rnacentral:rRNA from 1 species
UACGGGGGGGGCAAGCGUUGUUCGGAAUUACUGGGCGUAAAGGGCUCGUAGGCGGCCAACUAAGUCAGACGUGAAAUCCCUCGGCUUAACCGGGGAACUGCGUCUGAUACUGGAUGGCUUGAGAUUGGGAGAGGGAUGCGGAAUUCCAGGUGUAGCGGUGAAAUGCGUAGAUAUCUGGAGGAACACCGGUGGCGAAGGCGGCAUCCUGGACCAACACUGACGCUGAGGAGCGAAAGCCAGGGGAGCAAAUGGG